rnacentral:tRNA from 1 species
UUCCUGAUGGCUGAGAUGGUAAAGAAUCUGCCUGCAAUGCAGGAGACCCAGGUUCAGUCUCUAGGUUGGGAAG